CCCUUAGAUGUCCUGGGCCGCACGCGCGCUACACUGAGUGUCUGAGAUACGAGUCUGCCUGGUCCGGCAAGGUCUAGGUAAUCGCUAAAAGACACAUCAUGCUUGGGAUAGAUUAUUGCAAAUAUUAAUCUUGAACGAGAAAUUCCUAGUAAGCGCAAGUCAACAGCUUGCGUUGAUUACGUCCCUGCCCUUUGUACACACCGCCCGUCGCUACUACUGAUUGGAUGUUUAAGCGAGGUUCUCGAACUGCUAGCGACUUAGCUUCGGUGAGGUCGCAGUGUGGGAAGUGAACCUAGCUUUGGUGUCUAGAGGAAGUAAAAGUCGUAACA
rnacentral:rRNA from 1 species